GACGAACGCUGGCGGCGUGCUUAACACAUGCAAGUCGAACGGUGAAGCCCUGCUUUUGUGGGGUGCUCGAGUGGCGAGCGGGUGGGUAAAACGAGAGUAGACUAACCUGGCCUUUGGGAUUGCAUCAGCGAACGGGGGCGUGUCCAGGAUAGGAGAUCCUGCUUCAGUGUGAGGGUUGGACAGUUUCGGCGGUUGGGGCUGGUCGUGGGGGGUUUCAGGUUUUUGGUGGGGUUGGGGCGUUCCUGGGCUUGGACGGGUGGCCGGCCUGAGCGGGUGACCGGCCACAUUGGGACUGAGACACGGCCCAGAAGCCUACGGGAGGCAGCAGUGGGGAAUAUUGUACAAUGGGCGGAAGCCGUAUGCAGCAACGCCGCGUGCGGGAUGACGGCCUUCGGGUUGUAAAGCGCUUUUGCCUGGUAUGAAGCGUGAUUGACGGUAAUGGGUAAAGAAGCACCGGCUAACUACGUG
rnacentral:rRNA from 1 species